rnacentral:misc_RNA from 1 species
GAUGAAGAACGUAGCGAAAUGCGAUAAGUAAUGCGAAUUGCAGAAUUCAGUGAAUCAUCGAAUCUUUGAACGCACAUUGCGCCCGCCAGUAUUCUGGCGGGCAUGCCUGUCUGAGCGUCGUUUCGACCCUCGCGCCCGGCUUCUGUCGGGGGCGGUGUUGGGGAUCGGCCACACCCUUCAGUGGGGGGCCGGCCCCUAAAUUCAGUGGCGACCACGCUGUAGCCUCCCCUGCGUAGUACUAAAACCACCUCGCAGGCGGAGAGCGGUGCGGCCCGCCGUAAAACCCCCCAACUUUUACAAGGUCGACCUCAGAUCAGGUAGGAAUACCCGCUGAACUUAAGCAUAUCAAUAAGCGGAGGA